AACGAACGCUGGCGGCAUGCCUAACACAUGCAAGUCGAACGAGAUCUUCGGGUCUAGUGGCGCACGGGUGCGUAACGCGUGGGAAUCUGCCCUUUGGUUCGGAAUAACAGUUGGAAACGACUGCUAAUACCGGAUGAUGACGAAAGUCCAAAGAUUUAUCGCCAGAGGAUGAGCCCGCGUAGGAUUAGCUAGUUGGUGUGGUAAAGGCGCACCAAGGCGACGAUCCUUAGCUGGUCUGAGAGGAUGAUCAGCCACACUGGGACUGAGACACGGCCCAGACUCAUACGGGAGGCAGCAGUGGGGAAAAUUGGACAAUGGGCGAAAGCCUGAUCCAGCAAUGCCGCGUGAGUGAUGAAGGCCUUAGGGUUGUAAAGCUCUUUUACCCGGGAUGAUAAUGACAGUACCGGGAGAAUAAGCUCCGGCUAACUCCGUGCCAGCCGCCGCUGUAA
rnacentral:rRNA from 1 species